rnacentral:rRNA from 1 species
GACGAACGCUGGCGGCGUGCUUAACACAUGCAAGUCGAACGAAGUGGCGGACGGGUGAGUAACGCGUGAGCAAUCUGCCUUACACAAAGGGAUAGCCUCGGGAAACCGGGAUUAAUACCAUAUGGUGUAAGAUGAGCUCGCGUCCCAUUAAUUAGUUGGUGAGGUAACGGCCCACCAAGAUAGCGAUGGGUAGCCGAUCUAAGAGGAUGACCGGCCACAUUGGGACUGAGAUACGGCCCAAACUCCUACGGGAGGCAGCAGUGGGGAAUAUUGCACAAUGGGGGAAACCCUGAUGCAGCAACGCCGCGUGCGGGAUGACGGCCUUCGGGUUGUAAACCGCUUUCAGCGAGGCAUUAAGGUUAAUAACCUUAGUGAUUGACGUACUCGCAGAAGAAGCACCGGCUAACUCCGUGCCAGUAGCCGCGGUAAUAC